CUGGGCUAGAAUGCCUCUGACAACCCUAGAGAUAGGGCUUCCUAGGGAAACCUAGGCAGAGUGCAAGGUGCUGCAUGGCUGUCGUCAGCUCGUGUCGUGAGAUGUUGGGCUAAGUCCCGCAACGAGCGCAACCCCUACUGUGUGUUGUCUCACUCACACGGGACUGCCGAGAGAAACUCGGAGGAAGGUGGGGAUGACGUCAAGUCAGCAUGGCCCUUACGUCCUGGGCUACACCCACGCUACAAUGGCCGGUACAACGGGCGGCGAAACCGCGAGGUGGAGCGAAUCCCUUAAAGCCGGUCUCAGUUCGGAUUGUAGGCUGCAACUCGCCUACAUGAAGCCGGAGUUGCUAGUAACCGCCGGUCAGCAUACGGCGGUGAAUAUGUUCCC
rnacentral:rRNA from 1 species